GGGGUUGUGGCUCAGCGGUAGAACGCUCGCAUGGAUGCACGAGGGGCCCUGAGUUCGAUCCUCAGCACCACA
rnacentral:tRNA from 1 species